rnacentral:rRNA from 1 species
UGACGGUACCUGACUAAGAAGCCCCGGCUAACUACGUGCCAGCAGCCGCGGUAAUACGUAGGGGGCAAGCGUUAUCCGGAUUUACUGGGUGUAAAGGGAGCGUAGGCGGCAGAGCAAGUCAGAAGUGAAAGCCCGGGGCUCAACCCCGGGACGGCUUUUGAAACUGUUCAGCUAGAUUCCAGGAGAGGUAAGCGGAAUUCCUAGUGUAGCGGUGAAAUGCGUAGAUAUUAGGAGGAACACCAGUGGCGAAGGCGGCUUACUGGACUGGCAAUGACGCUCAGGCUCGAAAGCGUGGGGAGCAAACAGGAUUAGAUACCCUG